UCUCUCUGCACUCGUAUAUCUUACGGUGAUCUCAGAGGAAUCGAUCAAGCCAAGGAAGAAAUCAAGGAGGAUGGCAUCGUCCCGAGUCCACGUGUUGCUAGCGUCGUGGUUGCUGCUCUUGGUCAUAGCACCAGUGUUAGUUGAAGGAGACAAAUGUAGUGAAUGCUACACCAAGUGCAAGAGCGACGGCUCUUGGCAAAUCCUCUGCUUCCGCUGCCAUGCCUGCAAGUUUUCUGCGGAAUGGAAAAAACCCACGCGUGAAGACCGUUCUAGUUGGACGGGUAGUUGGGAGGCGGGCUUAAGAGCCGUGCCCGCAACAGAAGCACCGAUACAUUCGAAACAAGAUAAGAAUUAAAAAGAUAUGGUAUAUAUAUGAUGGAAGGGCCAUGGGCUGUCGAUCGUCCAUCUCUCAAAUACUUCCACCCGUACUCCUCCUGUUGUAAACGAACAGACCGCCACCUUGGCACUUGUUUGGUCUUUGUCAAUUUAUGCAAACUUGUUGUUGCUUGUUUUCUUUUUUGGUGAAAUAUUGUAUUUUGUUUUCGCUGGAUUAAUAAAACGGGUGGAAUUUCUCUGUCCUUUUGUGAAAAUAAAAUUAA